GAUGAACGCUGGCGGCGUGCUUAACACAUGCAAGUCGAGCGAGAAGUUUUGAAAAGAUUCUUCGGAUGAAAUUUAAAAUGGAAAGCGGCGGACGGGUGAGUAACGCGUAGGCAACCUGCCCCAUACAAAGGGAUAGCAUUUGGAAACGAAUAUUAAUACCUUAUGAAACUUAACUAGUGCAUGCUAGGUAGGUCAAAGAUUUAUAGGUAUGGGAUGGGCCUGCGUCUGAUUAGCUAGUUGGUGAGGUAACGGCUCACCAAGGCGACGAUCAGUAGCCGACCUGAGGGGGUGAACGGCCACAUUGGAACUGAGACACGGGCCAAACUCCUACGGGAGGCGGCAGUAGGGAAUAUUGCACAAUGGGGGAAACCCUGAUGCGGCAACGCCGCGUAAACGAUGAAGGCCUUUGGGUCGUAAAGUUCUGUUCUAGGUGAUGAAAACUGACAGUAACCUAGGAGAAAGCCCCGGCUAACUCCGUG
rnacentral:rRNA from 1 species